CAGAGAGCAACCGAAGGAUGUUAUGAUGAACGCACAUGCAGCUCUUCGUCCUGUGCUCGCGAGUUUCACUUUUGCGCUCGCGAAUGGCAUAUUUACGCGUAAACACAUACAGGUGAGAUGAAGCUCGGGGGUCCCGGCAGAGGUUCAGCUGGCAUGCAGCCCCACUGGAGCUGAGGUGUACAGGGGGUCCAGUAUUAGACUUCUAAAUGCAGCAGUUGUGCAGGCAUCUGGUGGCUCCAGAAAUUGAUCCACAACUUUCAAGAAGCUGUCUGUAUCUGCAGGCCAGGGUCAUACAGCCCCAGUUCAAAGAAGAAAUCUCGCUCAAUAGCAAACAGACCACCAGCCAUAGCAGGAGACCUGGAGGGAAACGAGUGUCAGACCAGAGCAGCAGCAUAUCCAAAAGUUUACCAGCUGAGGAAAGGAUGUACUAAGGAAUGCAAGUCUGAAGAUGUGUGUGACCAACUCAUUUCUCCACCAUUGAUGAGACAGUAUUAAAGCUAAAAGCAAGUGCUAUCUUGGUCUAAGGGAAAGGCUCUCAACUCUGGUCCUGCUGGAUUUAGUAUGAUUUAAACAUAAUAUUAAAAAUCACACUGAUGGA